UACGUAGGGGGCAAGCGUUGUCCGGUUUUAUUGGGCGUAAAGAGCGUGUAGGCGGCCAGGUAGGUCUGCUGUGAAAACUCGAGGCUUAACCUCGAGCUGUCGGCGGAAACCAUCUGGCUAGAGUCCGGAAGAGGAGAAUGGAAUUCCCGGUGUAGCGGUGAAAUGCGCAGAUAUCGGGAAGAACACCCGUGGCGAAGGCGGUUCUCUGGGACGGUACUGACGCUGAGACGCGAAAGCGUGGGGAGCGAACAGG
rnacentral:rRNA from 1 species